ACCCAGCUGACUAGUCUCAAAUAGGACGAAAUGCUCAUCCUAGAU
rfam:Schistosoma mattheei strain Denwood, Zambia genome assembly, scaffold: SMTD_contig0001379